rnacentral:rRNA from 1 species
CGGGGGGGCGAGCGUUGUUCGGAAUUACUGGGCGUAAAGGGUGCGCCAGGCGGUUUGCUAAGUUGGAUGUGAAAACUCUGGGCUUAACCCAGAGCCUGCAUUCAAAACUGACAAGCUAGAGUUCUGGAGGGGGUAGCGGAAUUCCUGGUGUAGCGGUGAAAUGCGUAGAUAUCAGGAGGAACACCGGUGGCGAAGGCGGCUACCUGGACAGAAACUGACGCUCAUGCACGAAAGCUAGGGGAGCAAACAGGAUUAGAUACCCUGGUAGUCCUAGCCCUAAACGAUGGAUACUUGGUGUGACGGGGAUUGAAUCCCGUCGUGCCGAAGCUAACGCAUUAAGUAUCCCGCCUGGGGAGUACGGUCGCAAGGCUG